rnacentral:rRNA from 1 species
GGAAAGGAUAAGCGCUGAAAGCAUCUAAGUGCCAAGCCCCCCCCGAGAAUUGAUAUCCCUGGGUCGCAAGAUCCUGUAGGCUGGUCGUAGACUACGACCUUGAUAGGCGUAAAGUGUAAGAUCCGUAAGGAUUUAAGCUAAUACGUACUAAUCGGCCAAUCGGCUUGUCCUU